rnacentral:rRNA from 1 species
GACGAACGCUGGCGGCGUGCUUAACACAUGCAAGUCGAACGGAAAGGCCCUGCUUUUGUGGGGUGCUCGAGUGGCGAACGGGUGAGUAACACGUGAGUAACCUGCCCUUGACUUUGGGAUAACUUCAGGAAACUGGGGCUACUACCGGAUAGGAGCUCCUGCUGCAUGGUGGGGGUUGGAAAGUUUCGGCGGUUGGGGAUGGACUCGCGGCUUAUCAGCUUGUUGGUGGGGUAGUGGCUUACCAAGGCUUUGACGGGUAGCCGGCCUGAGAGGGUGACCGGCCACAUUGGGACUGAGAUACGGCCCAGACUCCUACGGGAGGCAGCAGUGGGGAAUAUUGCACAAUGGGCGGAAGCCUGAUGCAGCAACGCCGCGUGCGGGAAGACGGCCUUCGGGUUGUAAACCGCUUUCGCCUGUGACGAAGCGUGAGUGACGGUAAUGAGUAAAGAAGCACCGGCUAACUACGUG